CUUUCGCAAAUGAAAUAUGGUUCAGAAUGAUGUGAUAUCAUUUUGAUUAAAAGGGAAUCAAGUGAGAUACUUUUUAGGCAAGAUUUUUUCUUUAAAGUAUUAAUUCUUGAGCUGUUCCCGCAACUGUAAGCUUAGUUUCUAAUUGUUAGAAAUGCUUGUUGCCACCUCAUGCCACUGUCGUUUUUUAACGAUGGGAAGGCCGCAACUAGACG
rnacentral:ncRNA from 2 species